rnacentral:rRNA from 1 species
GGAAUCUUGCGCAAUGGCCGAAAGGCUGACGCAGCGACGCCGCGUGCGGGAGGAAGCUCUUCGGGGUGUAAACCGCCGUCGGGGGGGACGAAGGUCCCGGGGAGGAAAUGCCCUGGGGAUGACGGUACCUCCAGUGGAAGCACCGGCUAACUCCGUGCCAGCAGCCGCGGUAAUACGGAGGGUGCGAGCGUUGUUCGGAAUUAUUGGGCGUAAAGCGCACGUAGGCGGCUCGGUAAGUCUCACUGUGAAAGCCCGGGGCUCAACCCCGGGAGGCCAGGGGAUACUGUCGGGCUGGAGACAGGCAGAGGCUGGUAGAAUUUCGGGUGUAGCGGUGGAAUGCGUAGAGAUCCGAAGGAAUACCGGAGGCGAAGGCGGCCAGCUGGGCCUGGUCUGACGCUGAGGUGCGAAAGCGUGGGGAGCGAA